rnacentral:tRNA from 1 species
AAUAAGAUGCCUGAUUAAAAGGUUUACUAUGAUAUAGUAAAUAAUGUAUAUUUAUACUCUUAUUG